CCAGGAUGGUCUUGAUCUCCUGUCCUCGUGAUCUUCCUGCCUAGGCCUCCCAAAGUGCUGGGAUUACAGGCGUGAGCCACCGCACCCGACUGACUGUGGUAUUUUGUUAUAGCAGCCCGAACAGACUAAGAUGGGCGUGUUGCUUCCAUCGAAGACUAUACUAAGUUGUGGAUUAUUUGUGAAAUUGAAUUACGAUCUUUUCCUUAAGGUCUUUUACCACCCCCCCCCCCAAAAAAAAAACCCCAAACUGAUUCAAAUUUUCAUACUUUAAUGAAAUAUUUUAUAAUUUGCAAAUUUUUAAGUGAUGUAUGAAAAAUCUAGAUCAGUGGAUCUCCUCUCUGGCUGCCCAUUAGAAUGUCCCAUGGAGAUUAAACUUUUUUUUUCAGUUUGUGGACCAAGAGUUUUGAUUUAUUUAGGGUGGAGUUCAGGGUCAGAAUGGUUUCAGAAGCUCCCAGGUGAUUCUGAUGUGAGUUGGAGCUGCAAGGCACUGAACUAGAUUAUAAGAUGUUUCUGGGAAAGAACCACAUUUUAGGAAUUUGCCUCCCACCCAGUCCUCUGUGUUUAAUCAGCACCUGAUGACUUGGCAGGACUUGCCCCACCAGGGUCUGGCUUUGAAGGGUAGUGGACACCAGGAUCAUUUGGAUGAAUCCUCUGCUACCUCUCUCUCUUCCUCAACCAAGAGUGAAUUUAAUUUUAUGUAAUUGGGUGAAAGUCUACGAAUCAUAAUUGUAAUAAAUUAAGGCUGGCUGUUUGUUUGAAAUUAGAUAAGAUAAACCUAAAGGUUUGAACAAGUUGUGGAUGGUUUGUAAAAAUUAAUCUUAUAAAAUAAAUGCUCUGUGUGAACAUACUGAUUAAAUUCAAAGGGAUAUUAUUUGGUUUUUCUGUAAAUUGAACCUUGAAAUAAAAGUACAACAAGGUUUUCUUAAGGCACUGGUCUGCUUUUUAACAAGAAUUUGUAAAGGGUUAUAAAAGGUUUACAAGAAUCUCACCUCAUGUUCAAACUAGUUAAGAUUGGAUAGAUUUAUCUAUAAGGUAUUACUAAAAAUUGGGGAUGACAUUAAUAGUAGACUGAUGCAAGGAUGAAAUCUGACUGUCUUGAACAAGAUUUUUAUGUAAUAGUAAAGGAUAAUGAAAGAUUUUUGUUUGCCUUGCAAAUAAACUACCAAAAAAAGAAGGGAAAGGCAAGAGACAAAUUGUUUGGAAAGUUGUCUUCCCUUUUAAUGAGUAAAGGUUUUGUGCCUUUAAAAGAAGUUUUUGAGUCAUCAUUUUGGCUAAUGAUAACCUGGAAUUCUAUUUUAUAGUAUCAAGUGUUUUAAACCUUUAACAUGUUUAGUAGGCUUCCCCAAAUCAAACUUUAGCUUCAAGAUUGUCUUUUUUGACCCCUAACUUUUGGAUGCCAACAGAGGGCCCCUGGAUUAUUUGACAUGUUUAAUUACAUGGGAUUGCCAAAAUGAAAAUAAUGUUUAAUCUUCUUCAGGUUACAUUUUAGUGAAUAACAUUAAUAUGUGUUCCAAAAUUGUAUGAGAUUUCUAAAAUUCUAAUAUCUGAGUAUAUGAUAUCAAUUUGAAUUAGGAUUAUUAUGUUAAGUUAUUGUAAACCACAGAAAUAAUGAAAUUUGUCAAUCGUGUUUUUGACUGAGACUGUCUAAAGACAUCUUGUCGUUCACAGACAAUCGUAGUCUUGUUUUGAUCCUCUUCAAAAGAUGGUUUGUAAUCAGCUAUGGAACUUAGGUGCUCUUAAAUGCAGAUUUCCAAUAUCUUUAGAUUGUGAUAUUAGAAUAAAGGAAAAAUAUUCAGGACUCAUGAAGAGCUGAAAUAUUCAUCAAUUUAUCAGGCAGAACAAGAGUUAACUGAAUGGGCUGAACUAACAGAAAACAGGUAAUCUGUUUAAUUUUUUGCUUAAAACAUUGCCGAUCUUUUGUUUUUCAGAGUCAAGAAAACUUUUAUUUUGAACUAUUUACAGCAUUUAACAAUUGAGUAAAGUAUACUCCUGUGAAAAAAAUUUGCAGCAUAUUGGUUCAUCUGCUGGUUUCUCUAGAAUUUGGAAACUAUUUGGAAAAUGUGAUUUUAAAAUUGGACACUAUCCAAAGAUGAUGGCAGGAUGAGAAAGGAUAUUCUUGCAAGUACUGUAGUUCCAAAGAGGCGAUCUGAACUGAUUACUCACUGUGGGGGAACCUAGCUGUCAUGUCAUGAGGAUACUCAAGCACUUAAUCUGUGGAGAUGCUCACAUGGCCAAGAACUGAGGUCUCCUGCCAAUAGUCAUGGGAGUGCACCAUCUCGCAAGUGAAUCCUUUGGCCUUGCAAGUGAAUCAAUUUCAGCUUUCAGAUGACUGCAGCCCCCAACAUGUUGACUCCAACCUCAUGAGCGACCCCAAGCCAGAAUCAACCAGGUUCCCGAGAAACAUCCUGGGGCGCAGAGCACUUUCCCACCUCAUGUGUUCAGAGCUUUAAAAGGCGCCUGCCCCCAGGACGUGCGUCCUCCCACUCCUGCCUCUGAACGGCACUUGCGGGGCUGAGC